rnacentral:lncRNA from 1 species
UUCAUGUUACAAAUUAAAGCAAAGAAAGACAUGACAACGAAAAGCAAAAGCAAAGAGCCGAAAAGCUGAACCAAAGCCCAACUUCGAGAAACCAAAAUUGAUCGCUUUAUCGGUGCCGCAGACAGGACUAAAAACGCACUUUUCCCUCCAAAUUAUCCUUUCUCAGGCAAGACUUACUAAUGGGCCAUUCGUUUCUAGUCUACAGCUGUAAAACUCGACGUGUGAGGGCAACCCACGCGCUGUCCCAAAUAUCGUAU